rnacentral:rRNA from 1 species
CCUACGGGCGGCAGCAGUGGGGAAUAUUGCACAAUGGGGGAAACCCUGAUGCAGCGACGCCGCGUGGGUGACGAAGUAUUUCGGUAUGUAAAGCCCUAUCAGCAGGGAAGAAGAUGACAGUACCUGACCAAGAAGCCCCGGCUAACUACGUGCCAGCAGCCGCGGUAAUACGUAGGGGGCAAGCGUUAUCCGGAUUUACUGGGUGUAAAGGGAGGGUAGGUGGCAUGGCAAGCCAGAAGUGAAAACCCGGGGCUUAACCCCGCGGAUUGCUUUUGGAACUGUCAGGCUGGAGUGCAGGAGGGGCAGGCGGAAGUCCUGGUGUAGCGGUGAAAUGCGUAGAUAUCAGGAGGAACACCGGUGGCGAAGGCGGCCUGCUGGACUGUAACUGACACUGAGGCUCGAAAGCGUGGGGAGCAAACAGGAUUAGAUACCCUGGUAGUC